GGGCACCCCCCACAUCCCAACCCUUCUGCAGGGACAGAAGCACGGCACAGAGACCCCUGAGGAAUGGAGGUGCUGGCUGAAGGCUGAGAUGCAGUGGCUGCAGCACGACACAGCGCGGGCCAUGGAUGUACCCAGGACUUGAGCACUGACAGUGAAAGUCCCAGUGCCCCACACGAUGGUAUGAUGUGGAAUACCGAAAGGCAAAACUCACAAAGCCACGACGCUGUCCUGACAGCUGCUUCUGCUCUCACAACUGCUUGGAACGGUCCUUCGCAGUCGGGUUGCAGCUUUGCCUCCUUGGUCUGGAUGAGCACCCAGCCUCCAGGCUGGGAUGGAUGAAUGGGAAAUUGCAGAGGCGAUGAUUGUGCCAGCAGUCCUCGGGUCCUGAGAGAGGAUAGUGAGGAAGACAGUCCGAGUCUGCGGUUCUUAAGGAACACAUCUUGAGUUUCAAACUGCGGUACCUCAUUUUUCUUUCCCAGAUAUGGGAACCCGAAUAACAUUUCCUAUGGAGAAACCCCCACAGCCUGUCUUGGUGCUGUACGGAUUCGGAGAAGUGCCAGAGGCAAGCAUUUGGUCCAACGGAGCCGAGUCUCUACGGCCAACUUGUGAGGAGCUUCUGUAUUCUCUGACUCGUUCUUUCUGCUUUUCCUGAUGACGGCAGGUGCCGGGGGUAUGAAAUUCCCAUUUAAUCCCUGAAGCGUGCAUUAGUUUCUGUAAUGUGUGUGAAGUGAAAUGACUGCCUUGGUCUGAAUCCACAUAUCCUACCCCUCCAUACCUAGGGAUCAUGUGUUCCAA